GGAGAAAAACCCUCUCUCCCUGGCUCCCGAGGCGGCCGCCUUUCACGCUCCAGCACAGUCUCGCCUGUGUUGUUCCGAUCAGUGACACCCCAGUUUGCGCAUGAGAGAGAUCUAAGCGUGUGCAUGGUCCCUAGAGAUGCUCAGGGGUAAACGAACAGGCACGUCCACAGCAACCACCUAAUGGCAUCUUUUUAUUCUCUUACAAAUGUCUGCCUGCGCUGGGGGCUUGAAUUUUUAACAGUGAGUUGGAAGCAGUAUGGAUUUAUUCACCCACUUCUGAAUCCAAACGUUCUUUGCAAUGGAGACCUAACUCUUCUCACCCUGAACGUGGAGGGUUUCCUUGCAAGGACCCCCCCAGACCCRGAUUUUAAUUGCAUGUAUUGAAAGGGCAGGGGUGGGACACAGGUUGUGAUGAGAGUCACCCUCUUGUCUCCACCRAAGUCACUUUGCAGGAGAGCUGAGGACAAUUUCCAAGCUCCCUCCCCUCUGGGGUGACUCCCCGCUUCCUGGGGCUGGCAAGUUACGGUGGCCUCUGGACCACGCGCUGUCUCCGAGACUGUUAGUACGACCAGGAUGCAACAGAAAUGCUGGCGCUUACCGGAGGCGACGUGGGACGGGGCCCCGGAGCUGCUCCUCUGCCCAGGCUGGUCCGGUGGUGCCGUCUCGCAGCCGGCGAAGGAAGCAGAAAGCAGCCUGCAGUGAAUUUUGACUUGCCUCCUGCUCUCGUCUGCCGCAACGGACUCUUCUGCCCUGGCUCCCAGCUCCAGCCCCGGCACAGCGCUGGUGGGAGCUAGGGUGACCCAUGGAGAUCAAAGGGGAUUGAGUGCAUCUCCCAAGAAGCCAGACCCCAAAUCCCAGAGCAAGGCUGGGCCUGGAACAGCCCAGUCAGAGACCCCCUCUGCCCCCUCUGGAUUUGCAAGGUCUUGAGCUCAGCAGAGAGGACGAGAGGCAGGAACRGAGGAGGACUGUGCUAGCUUGUGUCCCUACUUGCAUGAAGUCAUAUGGAAGCCAUCAGGCCUGCUCCCUCCAGCCCCUUUGCAACCCUGUGGCGGAGGAGCUGCAGCCCACGAGAUGGCACCAGAGCCUUUCCUCAGACGAGGCAAACCAGCGCCUUGCUGCAGCCCUGGCGCCCCUGGACACCCUGAAGGCACCCCUGGGUGCCAGGCAGCCCUUCAUCCCCACAAGGCCCUUCCAGAGAUGCCCCGUGAGAGGUGCAUCUCACUGCACCCAGCACCAGCCGGGUCCCGAGGAGGAAGGAUGGGGCUUGCUUUUCACCAGCAUCUCUAUGCGGAGGCAGGUAAGCCAGUUACAUUACACAGGCAGUUUAUUUGCAAGGAAGAUAGCGUGCUGCAAAGGGAGUAAGUGCCAGCACUUCCUAAAAUAGCCUAACACCGGCAACUGUCCCUAAAGGGGGGAGGGGGGGUCUGCUUGACUUGUGUCACUUGCACAAGUGCUGGGUGUUCAGACCACCUGCUGAGUCAAGCUGGUUCUCCAAAAAAAAAUACCACAUACACAAAAUCGCGGGAUGCUUCUUGGUUUUGCCUUAGUAUUUCACAGGGUGGGCUGACUUGCUGAGGUUCCUCAGCGGAGAUCUGGGAUCAAGCCCCAGAGAGCUAAUACUGCCUGGCUUCUUGAGUGGGAGAUGCUCAAUAACCACGGACUACGCCGUGUCUGAAGCACGUCAGCGGUGUAGCAGUCCAAGGCAGGGGCUGCUGGGUCCUAAGGGAAAAAUGAGACUUUCUUCAGUGCCACUUCCUGACGAAAGCGCAUCAGAGCCCUGUUUGAG
ensembl:lncRNA